AUCGGUUUAGCUCAGUGGUAGAGCGGCUGCCUCCAAAACAGCGCGUCGGGAGUUCGAUUCUCUCAACCGGUGCCA
rnacentral:tRNA from 1 species